CUUCAACCUUCAGGCUUGUGU
rnacentral:piRNA from 1 species